GCCAGCAGCUAGCUCUCUGCAACUCUCACAUAGUCGCCCACUGAAGCUAAGCAGGGCUGCGCCCGGUCAGUACCUGGAUGGGAGACCACUUGGGAAAGCUAGGUUGCUGCCGGAA
rnacentral:rRNA from 1 species